AAUAAAAUAACAAACUCAGUUACGCUCACUUUAUCAACAUGGCUUCUCACUCACAUAAGUGGGGUUGUUGUCAAGAAGUUUUUGAAGGAGAAAAUUUCCUUACUUGUUUUAAGUGUAAGGAAUUGUACCACUUUGUCUGUGUUGGCUUAGAUGAGAAUCUGAUGACUCCUAAAAGAAGUUUGUCGUGGAAAUGCCCUAGCUGUGUAAUGCAGGUUCCAAAAGGAAUAAAAAAUGAUAAUACUCCUAUCCGCAAUGUAACCACAACUAGAGGCAAUAAAAGGCAAGCCGUUAAUUCCCCUCCGAAUAUUAGCCGUGACAAUCUUCUAACGCGUGAAGAUGUCAGUGGGAUCGUUCAGGAAAUAAUACAAAAACAAUUUAAUGACAUGUUGUCUAAAUAGAAUAGAACUCUGAAUGAGGCAUUGAAUACAAAACUAAAACCUAUACAAAAUGAAAUGUCAGAAACUAUUAAAUCUAUGGAGCAUAUGAAUGAACGAUUUGAGGAAGUCCUUAAGGAACAUAAAAACACCCAAGAGGCUUUGGAAACGCUGAAAAUUUAAAACAUCAACCUAAAAACAACAGUUUCUGAUCUAAAUAUUAGAUUGAACCACUUGGAGCAACAUUCCCGAGCUAAAAAUUUAGAAUUACAAUGUGUACCUGGGAAGAAAAACGAAAACUUAAUUAACAUUGUAACUAAAACAGGGAAGGUUAUAAAAUGAGACAUUAAUGAAAAACAUAUUGUAAACUGCACAAGGGUUGCAAAGCUACAACGUGAUACAAAUAGCCCGAGGUCAAUUAUUGUAGAAUUAACUAAUUCUAGACUACGUGAUGAAAUGUUAGCAGGCAUUAUAAAAUUCAAUAAAACGAACCCUAACAAUAAAUUAAUUAGUACCCUUAUUGGAAUCCCCGGUGUGCAAACUAGACUUCAAUUUGAGUUGUGUAAAUUGGUCAUUAAUCAGAGAAGAUAAAGGUUUUAGUGUGUAAUAGUACGAACACUCUUAUUUCAGAACCCAAAAGAAAUAUUGAAAGCGAGACAGAAGAAGCGGCUGCUGGAGCCAAGCACGAGUGUAAAACAAUAUUCUUCGCCCAGCUCACCCGACCCGUCGCCCGAACAUCUACCAGAACCAUCACCCGGCCCCUCAACGAAAUUUGGAAACAAAAGAACCCAAAGGAAAUAUUGAAAGCAAGACAGAAGAAGCGGCUGCUGGAGCCAAGCACGAGUGUAAAACAAUAUUCUUCGCCCAGCUCACCCGACCCGUCGCCCGAACAGCUACCAGAACCAUCACCCGGCCAGAGCGAACGUGUACACACUCGUGUCACGCAGUUGCCGGCUGAUUUUGUUUAGGUAAAGACGCGUCAAAAUGUGGUCUGGUGGUAACGAACGUGAAAUGGAAUUUUUGUAGCCCAUACAGACUCACGCCGAGAACACCCGAGAAGCGUGAGUGUGAGGAGUUUCUCGCUGUCUCGUUCUCGCGCUCGACUAUUCUCCGAUGGUUGUCGGUAUUUUUGGCCGCUUCAAAGGAUUUCUCGGGCGAGAAAAGAGAAGACUAUCACACUCACGUUUUUUCUCAGUGCCGAUUAGUGAGCUGCGUUGAGUAGACGA